rnacentral:rRNA from 1 species
GAGGAAUAUGACGGUAACUUAUGAAUAAGGAUCGGCUAACUACGUGCCAGCAGCCGCGGUCAUACGUAGGAUCCGAGCAUUAUCCGGAGUGACUGGGUGUAAAGAGUUGCGUAGGUGGAUGUUUAAGUAGAUAGUGAAAUCUGGUGGCUCAACCAUUCAGACUGUUAUCUAAACUGGACAUCUCGAGAGCGUCAGGGGUAACUGGAAUUUCUAGUGUAGGAGUGAAAUCCGUAGAUAUUAGAAGGAACACCGAUAGCGUAGGCAGGUUACUGGGGCGUUUCUGACACUAAGGCACGAAAGCGUAGGGAGCAAACGGGAUUAGAUACCCCGGUAGUCUACGCCGUAAACGAUGGAUGCUAGCUGUGGGGGGUAUCGACCCCUUCCGUAGCGAAGCUAACGCGUUAAGCAUCCCACCUGUGUAGUACGAUCGCAAGAUUAAAACAUAAAGGAAUUGACGGGGACCCGCACAAGCGGUGGAGCGUGAUCUUUAAUUCGAUGCUAAACGAUAAACCUUACCAAGGCUUGACAUCCAGGGAAGGCCUCCGAAAGGAGUCUGUGCCUUCGGGAACCCUGUGACAGGUGAUGCAUGGCCGUCGUCAGCUCGUGUCGUGAGAUGUUUGGUUAAGUCCAUCAACGAGCGCAACCCUUGUCAGUAGUUGUAUUUUUCUACUGAAACUGCCCCGGUAACGAGGAGGAAGGAGGGGAUGAUGUCAGGUCAGUAUUUCCCUUACGCCUUGGGCUAGAAUCGCGCUACAAUGGCUGGUACAAUGCGAAGCGAAGUCGCGAGAUGAAGCAAAUCGCACCAAAGCCAGUCCCAGUUCGGAUAGGAGGCUGAAACUCGCCUCCUUGAAGUCGGAAUCGCUAGUAAUCGCAAAUCAGCAUGUUGCGGUGAAUACGUUCCCGGGUCUUGU